UGACGACAGGUCGGUGGUCUGCGUAAGCGC
rnacentral:sRNA from 1 species